CCUACGGGAGACAGCAGUGAGGAAUAUUGGUCAAUGGACGAGAGUCUGAACCAGCCAAGUAGCGUGAAGGAUGACUGCCCUAUGGGUUGUAAACUUCUUUUAUAUGGGAAUAAAAUGUUCCACGUGUGGGUUUUUGUAUGUACCAUAUGAAUAAGGAUCGGCUAACUCCGUGCCAGCAGCCGCGGUAAUACGGAGGAUCCGAGCGUUAUCCGGAUUUAUUGGGUUUAAAGGGAGCGUAGGUGGAUUGUUAAGUCAGUUGUGAAAGUUUGCGGCUCAACCGUAAAAUUGCAGUUGAAACUGGCAGUCUUGAGUACAGUAGAGGUGGGCGGAAUGCGUGGUGUAGCGGUGAAAUGCUUAGAUAUCACGAAGAACUCCGAUUGCGAAGGCAGCUCACUGGACUGCAACUGACACUGAGGCUCGAAAGUGUGGGUAUCAAACAGGAUUAGAUACCCCUGUAGUC
rnacentral:rRNA from 1 species